CCUACGGGCGGCAGCAGUGAGGAAUAUUGGUCAAUGGGCGGAAGCCUGAACCAGCCAAGUAGCGUGCGGGAUGAAGGCCCUACGGGUCGUAAACCGCUUUUGUACGGGGAUAACACCCUCCACUUGUGGAGGUCUGCAGGUACCGUGCGAAUAAGGGCCGGCUAAUUCCGUGCCAGCAGCCGCGGUAAUACGGAAGGCCCGAGCGUUAUCCGGAUUCAUUGGGCUUAAAGGGAGCGUAGGCGGGCGUGCAAGUCAGCUGUAAAAUCGCGCGGCUCAACCGCGCCCCGCAGUUGAAACUGGACGCAUUGAGUUCACAACAGGCAGGCGGAAUUCGUGGUGUAGUGGUGAAAUGCAUAGAUAUCACGAGGAACCCCGAUUGCGAAGGCAGCCUGCCGGGGUGCGACUGACGCUGAGGCUCGAAGGUGCGGGUAUCAAACAGGAUUAGAUACCCCUGUAGUC
rnacentral:rRNA from 1 species